AUACGGAGGGUGCAAGCGUUACUCGGAAUCACUGGGCGUAAAGCGCCCGCAGGCGGCUUGAUAAGUUGGAUGUGAAAGCCUACGGCUCAACCGUAGAACUGCAUCCAAAACUGUCAAGCUCGAGUCUGGGAGGGGAAGAUGGAAUUAGUUGUGUAGGGGUAAAAUCCGUAGAGAUAACUAGGAAUACCAAAAGCGAAGGCGAUCUUCUGGAACAGUACUGACGCUGAGGUGCGAAAGCGUGGGGAGCAAACAGGAUUAGAAACCCCGGUAGUCC
rnacentral:rRNA from 1 species